rnacentral:rRNA from 1 species
AUUGAACGCUGGCGGCAGGCUUAACACAUGCAAGUCGAGCGAGCGGCGGACGGGUGAGUAAUGUCUGGGAAACUGCCUGAUGGAGGGGGAUAAAUACUGGAAACGGUAGCUAAUACCGCAUACCAUCAGAUGUGCCCAGAUGGGAUUAGCUAGUAGGUGGGGUAAGGUCUCACCUAGGCGACGAUCCCUAGCUGGUCGGAGAGGAUGACCAGCCACCCUGGAACUGAGACCCGGUCCAGAUUCCUACGGGAGGCAGCAGUGGGGAAUAUUGCACAAUGGGCGCAAGACUGAUGCAGCCAUGCCGCGUGUAUGAAGAAGGCCUUCGGGUUGUAAAGUACUUUCAGCGGGGAGGCGUUACCCGCAGAAGAAGCACCGGCUAACUCCGUGCCAGCAGCCGCGGUAAUAC